rnacentral:lncRNA from 1 species
UAGGGGCUUUGUGCUUUGUUAUAGGGUAACUACCUAACUUGCUUUAUUAAAAUAGGUGAAUGUAUAUGAGUUUCUACAAUAGUCAAGGUGCAGAGAUUGGGGAAAGCUCGGGCCUUAAGGGGCUAUCUCUAUAUUACAACUCCUCCUCCCAAGGCUCAGGGAUCAUUGAGGAAGAAGGAGCAGAAGAAAGUCUGUAAAAGGCAGAAGCGGUGGAUGACUGUGGCACCAGGGUACCGUGGAACUGGGAGGAGCCAGUCUGGAGCAGGACUGAGGCAGUUGCACAUACGGAUCCAUAGUGGUCCUGGCAGCUUGCACAAGACCCACAAAAGCUCAAAAAAUUAGACAAGAUCUCAGCGUGGCUAGAGGAGGUGCUAGGGACGUUCCACCCCUAACUGAAGAAAUAUUGGCAACUGGUAGCUUCUGAGAGAGGAGAGUCUGUUUACAGUUAUGCCCCUCACAAACUGAACAGAACGGGGCAGGGCAGGCACAAAACUGGAAGCUACCAGUUGCCAAGAUCAGGCACUCCAGGAUCUUCACCCCUCCGAAGUCUCAGAUAAAUCAAGAGAGGACUCAAGCCCCAGCAGAGGCAAACUGGCUGCCCUGGAAGACCUGCUGCAGCCUCUGGCUUCUUCAGCUCAGCUUCACCAUGGCGAUGACCAGAGGAAUGAGGAUCCCCCACCUUCAUAACUACUUCUAAUAUUGCAGAAAGGAGGGCUGGCGAGAGAGCUCAGCAGAUAAGAGGAUCCAUUGCUCUUCCAGACGACCUGGGUUUGAUAACCACCACAUGCAUGCAUGACAACUCACUACUGUAACUACAUUUCCAGAGGGUCCAAUGCCCUCCUCUAGCCUCUGUGGGCACAUGACAUGCAUGUGGUGCACAGGCAAAGCACCCAUAUGCAUGAAAUAAAAUAAAUACAUCUUUAAAAAUU